rnacentral:rRNA from 1 species
GACGAACGCUGGCGGCGUGCUUAACACAUGCAAGUCGAACGGAAAGGCCCUGCUUUUGUGGGGUGCUCGAGUGGCGAACGGGUGAGUAACACGUGAGUAACCUGCCCUUGACUUUGGGAUAACUUCAGGAAACUGGGGCUAAUACCGGAUAGGAGCUCCUGCUGCAUGGUGGGGGUUGGAAAGUUUCGGCGGUUGGGGAUGGACUCGCGGCUUAUCAGCUUGUUGGUGGGGUAGUGGCUUACCAAGGCUUUGACGGGUAGCCGGCCUGAGAGGGUGACCGGCCACAUUGGGACUGAGAUACGGCCCAGACUCCUACGGGAGGCAGCAGUGGGGAAUAUUGCACAAUGGGCGGAAGCCGGAUGCAGCAACGCCGCGUGCGGGAUGACGGCCUUCGGGUGGUAAACCGCUUUCGCCUGUGGCGAAGCGUGAGUGACGGUAAUGGGUAAAGAAGCACCGGCUAACUACGU